rnacentral:rRNA from 1 species
UACGUAGGGUGCGAGCGUUAAUCGGAAUUACUGGGCGUAAAGCGUGCGCAGGCGGUUCGUUAAGUCAGAUGUGAAAGCCCCGGGCUCAACCUGGGAACUGCAUUUGAAACUGGCGGGCUUGAGUGUGGCAGAGGGGGGUGGAAUUCCGCGUGUAGCAGUGAAAUGCGUAGAGAUGCGGAGGAACACCGAUGGCGAAGGCAGCCCCCUGGGCCAACACUGACGCUCAGGCACGAAAGCGUGGGGAGCAAACGGG